rnacentral:rRNA from 1 species
GACGAACGCUGGCGGCGUGCUUAACACAUGCAAGUCGAACGAAGAGCGACGGAAGCUUGCUUCUAUCACUCUUAGUGGCGCACGGGUGAGUAACGCGUAAUCAACCUGCCCUUCAGAGGGGGACAACAGUUGGAAACGACUGCUAAUACCGCAUACGAUCUAACCUCGGCAUCGAGGAUAGAUGAAAGGUGGCCUCUACAUGUAAGCUAUCACUGAAGGAGGGGAUUGCGUCUGAUUAGCUAGUUGGAGGGGUAACGGCCCACCAAGGCGAUGAUCAGUAGCCGGUCUGAGAGGAUGAACGGCCACAUUGGGACUGAGACACGGCCCAGACUCCUACGGGAGGCAGCAGUGGGGAAUCUUCCGCAAUGGACGAAAGUCUGACGGAGCAACGCCGCGUGAGUGAUGACGGCCUUCGGGUUGUAAAGCUCUGUUAAUCGGGACGAAAGGCCUUCUUGCGAAUAGUGAGAAGGAUUGGCGGUACCGGAAUAGAAAGCCACGGCUAACUACGUG